UGCCAAACAUCAGGACAGGCUUUGGAGAAUCAAAGAUGAGUAAAUAAUCAUAAUAUCCCUCAAGAGGUUUCCAUGCCUUUGCUGAGGAUACGAGCAAUAUACGAAGAUAUUGCUUCAUUUGUUUGAACAAAUAUCUACCAGUAUAUUUGAUGUCCUCUACCUCAGACUUCACGUCCCUCAUGUUACCAAAAACUAGGCCAACAGAAACUAGAAAAGGAGGGAGAAGAAAAAUCUUAGUUCAUUCUAUGAGGGAAGAACAAGUCUCAGGAUGUGAAGUUCAUUUGUCUGUGACCAAGCUGAAUCGGGAAGAGGUAC